GACGAACGCUGGCGGCGUGCUUAACACAUGCAAGUCGAACGAGGAGCGAUGGAAGCUUGCUUCUAUCACUCUUAGUGGCGAACGGGUGAGUAACGCGUAAUCAACCUGCCCUUCAGAGGGGGACAACAGUUGGAAACGACUGCUAAUACCGCAUACGAUCUAAUCUCGGCAUCGAGGAUAGAUGAAAGGUGGCCUCUACAUGUAAGCUAUCACUGAAGGAGGGGAUUGCGUCUGAUUAGCUAGUUGGAGGGGUAACGGCCCACCAAGGCGAUGAUCAGUAGCCGGUCUGAGAGGAUGAACGGCCACAUUGGGACUGAGACACGGCCCAGACUCCUACGGGAGGCAGCAGUGGGGAAUCUUCCGCAAUGGACGAAAGUCUGACGGAGCAACGCCGCGGGAGCGAUGACAGCCUUCGGGUUGUAAAGCUCUGUUAAUCGGGACGAAAGGCCUUCUUGCGAAUAGUGAGAAGGAUUGACGGUACCGGAAUAGAAAGCCACGGCUAACUACGUG
rnacentral:rRNA from 1 species